CGAGUCAACUACAACAUUUCAAUAAAUUAUACAAGUAAUAUAGCUUUAUUAUAAAUUUAAGUUUGAUAGAUACAAAUUUUGAAAACUUAAGCACACAAGGGGACAGUUAAAAAAAAUUGCUUUUGAAAUUUAUUACAUUACGUAGGUACUUUCUAUAGCUGAAGAUCGUGGCCAACCGUUAAUCUGCCAAAGAAUAAAUAAUUUACCAUUGCAUUUAUCAAACGGACUUUUUCGAUAUUAUUAUGAACAAUGAGGUUCAGUUACCUAUUACGACUAAAUUGCUUAAGGUGCUGUGGGGAGGAGGAAGAAGCCGCUCAGUACAUAGGAUUUUACUUCUGUCCUUGAGACAGUCUUUCAAUGAAGAAGGUAUUGUUGAUUUGCCUCAAGGAAAUCCGGAAGAACAUUAUCCGCCUAAAAAAAAGAAUUAUUAGAAGAUAUGACUCAUUAUUAGAAGUAUGAGUCAACCUUCGAAAGGGGAUGGCCCAUUUUAGGCCCAAAGCGGACAAUAGAUUAUAGAAAAAAUACUUAGUGCAUUAAUUUUGUCAUAAAUAAAUAUGCAUUUACUUUCUUGCAAAUAAGCGCCACUAUAGUUUACAAUAAGUAGUUUAAAACAAGUAACUCUAUUGAAAAAACAAGGAUUUUUAUUUUUGCGGGAAAAAUAUUGCCAGCUUCAAAUCCUUUUACGUAUGAAGUAAAUAUUUUGAGUAUAUAAAUAAAACAUAUAAAUAAAUCAU